UACCUUGUUACGACUUCACCCCAAUCGCCAACCACACCGUGGACGGCUGCCUCCCUUGCGGGUUGGCCCACCGGCUUCGGGUACAGCUGACUUUCGUGAUGUGACGGCGGUGUGUACAAGGCCCGGGAACGUAUUCACCGCGUCGUUCUGAUACGCGAUUACUAGCGAUUCCACCUUCAUGCAGUCGAGUUGCAGACUGCAAUCCGAACUGAGGCCGGCUUUUUGGGAUUAGCUCCCCCUCGCGGGUUUGCAGCCCUUUGUACCGACCAUUGUAGCACGUGUGUAGCCCUGGACAUAAAGGCCAUGAUGACUUGACGUCAUCCCCACCUUCCUCCGGUUUGUCACCGGCAGUCCCCCUAGAGCCCCCGGCAUUACCCGCUGGCAACUAGGGGCAAGGGUUGCGCUCGUUGCGGGACUUAACCCAACACCUCACGGCACGAGCUGACGACAGCCAUGCAGCACCUCUGCUGGAGUCCCCGAAGGAAGAUUCUGUCUCCAGAACGGUCCCAGGAGUUCAAACCCAGGUAAGGUUCUUCGCGUUGCAUCGAAUUAAACCACAUGCUUCACCGCUUGUGCGGGCGCCCGUUAAUUCCUUUGAGUUUUAGCCUUGCGACCGUACUCCCCAGGCGGGGCACUUAAUGUGUUAG
rnacentral:rRNA from 1 species